rnacentral:rRNA from 1 species
AGAGUUUGAUCAUGGCUCAGGAUGAACGCUAGCGGCAGGCCUAAUACAUGCAAGUCGAACGGUAAAUACUAUAGCAAUAUGGUAUGAGAGUGACGUACGGGUGCGUAACACGUAUGCAACCUACCCAAAACUGGAGUAUAGCUCGGGGAAACUCGAAUUAACCCUUCAUAGGAUCGUAGUGUGGCAUCACACAGCGAUUAAAACUCAGGUGGUUUUGGAUGGGCAUGCGUCUGAUUAGCUAGUUGGCGGGGUAAAGGCCCACCAAGGCGAUGAUCAGUAGGGGAACUGAGAGGUUGAUCCCCCACACUGGCACUGAGAUACGGGCCAGACUCCUACGGGAGGCAGCAGUAGGGAAUAUUGGUCAAUGGAUGCAAGUCUGAACCAGCCAUGCCGCGUGCAGGAAGAAGGCCUUCUGGGUUGUAAACUGCUUUUGCCAGAGGAUAAAAUGGGGAUGCGUCCCUAAUUGAAGGUACCUGGUGAAUAAGCCACGGCUAACUACGUGCCAGCAGCCGCGGUAAUACGUAGGUGGCAAGCGUUGUCCGGAUUUAUUGGGUUUAAAGGGUGCGUAGGCGGUCCCAUAAGUCAGUGGUGAAAUACUCUAGCUUAACUAGAGGGGUGCCAUUGAUACUGCGGGACUUGAGUAGAGUCGAGGCGGGCGGAAUUGACGGUGUAGCGGUGAAAUGCUUAGAUAUCGUCAAGAACACCAAUAGUGAAGACAGCUCACUAGGCUCAAACUGACGCUGAGGCACGAAAGUGUGGGGAUCAAACAGGAUUAGAUACCCUGGUAGUCCACACUGUAAACGUUGAUUACUCGCUGUUGGCGAUACACAGCCAGCGGCCAAGCGCAAGCGAUAAGUAAUCCACCUGGGGAGUACGCCGGCAACGGUGAAACUCAAGGAUUGACGGGGUCCGCACAGCGGUGGAGCAUGUGGUUUAAUUCGAUGAUACGCGAGGAACCUUACCUGGGC